rnacentral:rRNA from 1 species
UACGUAGGUGGCAAGCGUUAUCCGGAUUUAUUGGGCGUAAAGGGAACGCAGGCGGUCUUUUAAGUCUGAUGUGAAAGCCUUCGGCUUAACCGGAGUAGUGCAUUGGAAACUGGGGGACUUGAGUGCAGAAGAGGAGAGUGGGACUCCAUGUGUAGCGGUGAAAUGCGUAGAUAUAUGGAAGAACACCAGUGGCGAAAGCGGCUCUCUGGUCUGUAACUGACGCUGAGGUUCGAAAGCGUGGGUAGCAAACAGG